CCCCCCCGGGUACGUAGGGGACCCUCGCUUUCCUGCCCGGUGCGCCACGAAACCCCAUCACACCGGACCAACUUGCCUCUCCACCUAGCUUCUCACCUCCCAGCCGCCUCUUUCUCUUGCAGCCUUCUGCUCUUUCAUCCCACCCGUCCCGUGCUGCCUAGUCGCCCCAUCCUGAGCGUUUCUCCGCUUGCUCCCGGUCUCACCGCCCCAUUGUUUCCCCAUUAGCCUUCGGGUUCCGUAAACGCCCGGUUCCGUGGACCUAGAUCCCUGUUGCUCCGCAGUCCUGAAGGCUGCCUCCCUUGAAGUGAUUUCCAGUUCCUUUGCUCCACUAGCCUCUUCUGUCCAUUCCCUUUUCGGGUUUCUCUUCCAGCUCCCCUCUUCCGUUUGGGUUAUAUUUCUUGGCCUCUGUAGCUUCAGUUAGGUUUCUUCGUCUCAUUUUAUGUCAUACACAUCACACUCAAUAUCCGACUCUUAUCCCAGAUUACUUUCUUUGUGGGAGUGUAGUAAAGGUAUUCCGUUUGGUGUAGGGAACGCUUUGUGGGAAGUUGGGAUUUUUAAUUGCUUUUGGUGGAAUUUAAUCAUUAUGUUUUCAUGCUUUUUAGAGAAGUUGUGAAUGUCAGCCCUCCCCCCCCCUCCGGUGUUUCUUUUUCUAAUGGGGAUCUGGAAAAGGAUUGGCUGAGAGUGGUAUCAUUUCCUGGAACUGUUAACCCUGGUAGUUUGAAUUUAGAAGGUUGAGUAUGAAGUGUAGAUUAUUGGAAUAAAAAAUGGAUUAAUAUCACACCUACAAAUAACAUACAUCUCUUUAAAAAUGCUAAAAAGGUGAUUGAUGAUACUUUAGUUUGGACUCCUUUUUAAUUUAUGCUGGUUAUCUCGGGGGACCAGCUUCUCUUACCCGGCAUUAUAUUACUCCAUUCACUAACUUACAUACAAUUACCAUAGCUAACUCCUCCCAACUUUUUCCAAACCUGGAAGCCACUUGUAAUAUCCUCAUUUUUCUUUACCUGGAGGUACAAAGCUCAGUGGAUUACUCAAGCUUUGACUCAGUGGAGUGACCUAAAACUUUUCAGGAAAAAAAAACAACAACAGGGAAAUAGGCACAAUAAUUUCCUUUUUAAAAUGGUAACUGGACACAUUAGCCUGACUGACUUUUAUUCUCAUGAAAGUUACUUUGCUUUACUGUUUGAAGCAAGAGUGAGCAUGUCCUGAAAGGGAAUUCACUGACAGGAGUCCUGUUUUGAUUUCUCAUUUGGACUUCGGCUGUAAGGUCUGCACUUAAAAAAAAAAAAAAAAGUACAAAAUGUGAAUUCUUCCAGGAUACUUUGCUCAUGAAGUGCUGUUAGAACAAGUUAUUGCUACAGACAAACGUAUUAUUCAUUGUGACUUGUUCCUUCACUGUGGAAAAGUUAAAAAAAAAUCAUUACUGCUUGGUUCUCUUAUGCACUGGUCAUGCAGGCUGCUUUUAACUAUCAGUCCUUGUCUGUUUAGAAAAUGCAGAAUAUAUUUAAAUGGUGACACUUUUAUACCUGGAAAAUUCUUUAAAUUGAAUUGUGAAGCCAUACGUGAUUUUUUUAUUAUCUAAUAUUUGGAGUAGACAGUUUUACUGUUUACUGCCCUUCAAGUGAGUACUUGGCUUGCUGUAGCCAAUCUUAUGGUUUGACCUAACACUGUUAAUUCUUGUCUUUUAUUUUUCUUUUGGGUGAGGGGGUAGGUGAAAAAACUACUUGUUACUGUAAGAACUAUUUUCCUCUUCCUCAAAUUCAUCAAAAUGAUAAAUUAGAACAAAAAUAUGUAUAGCUUUUUAAAGUCUUUAUAAAGGUUUUUGCAUUAUUUCAAAUGUAGCAGUAGUUCUUUUAACACAUUGCCAAGAAGGGUAGAAAAUAGGCUAGAUAUGGCUAGGAGGGUGGUCUUUGCUUGUGGUUUUAGUGCUAGCCUUUUUCUCUUGUAGUAACAGCUACUGCAGAAGCCAAAUGGGAUUAGGUUUGGAGGGUAAACUCAUCUCUACCACUGCUGCUGUGUUUAUGCUCCCACUUCAGAACUUGAAUAUUCCUGGUAAUGUGUGAUUUUUUUUUAAGUUGCCACUACUCCAGUUCUUUUCAGUGAGGUUUUAAAAUACUCUUUUCCUUAUAUUGUUUUAAAUGCCCUUGUAACAAGUUUUCAGUAAUGACCUAAAUUAAAUAAAGUCUGGCCAAUCAGUGGUUUUUCUAAACACCUUCCUCCCCCACACACUUUAACAUGCUUCCAGAAAAUUAAAAAGGCUUCCACAGACAGUUCUGUGUCUUGACAUCGUGAACUUCAGGCUUUAGUGUAGAGAUGAUUUUUCCUCUUUUAGGAAUUUUUCUUUCUAGUGAGGGCUUGGUUCUGUUGCACCUUUUAAUAUCUUGAAUGACUGUUGCCUAGUUAGUUGAACUUAGUGAAAGCAAUUUCAUUUUUUAAAUGUUAGUCUAUAACAAAAAUAUGUCUAGGACUGUUUUUUUUCCUAUGGCACUGUGGAGGUUGUUUUUGUGUACUUCACCAAGGUGUUUCCAUAUUAGGAAGUGAUUAUUAUAAUCUACAAAUUGUGGCUUAAUUCAUACUACAUUAUAUACUUUAAGAAAGAUCUUUUGUUUUACUUCUGGGUGUCUGUAGAUAAUAGUGUUAACUAGGGUCCCUAGUGUGAAGAGUUGUCCAACUUGAAACGUGAAAAUAAACACGAUUUGCACUUAGUUUCAGGCCUCUAAUGGUCAUAAUCAAGGUAGAAUAGCAACCCUUAAAUUGGAAGGACUUGAAUUUGCCAGGCACUUAUUAACCAUUAUCUAAUAUACUCCUCUCAUGGCUAUGGGAGAGGCAAGCCAUAUGCUUAGGAAGUAGUUUCUAAUUCCAUUUAAAGAGGAUAUAGAAUGCUUCAAACAUCCAUAAUUAUUAAAGUAUAAACAAAACACAAUUUUUAUUUUUUAUUUAUUUUUUAAGAGAGAGGUGGAGGAGGGGCAGAGGGCGAGGAAGAGAGAAUCUUAAGCAAGCUCCACAGCCAGCACAGAGCCCAACAAGGGGCUUGAUCCCACGACCCUGAUACCGUGACCUGAGCAGAAAUCAGGAGUCUGGGUGCUUAACUGACUGAGUCACCAGGUGCCCCAAAACACAGUUUUUUAAAUUUAUAAAUUCUUAAUUUAAAAACCAUUCUUAUCUGACUUCCUAACCUUUCGUCUUAUUUUGUUUUGUUUUUUAAAGAUUUUAUUUAUUUGAGAGAGAGAAUGAGAGACAGAGAGCAUGAGAGGGAGGAGGGUCAGAGGGAGAAGCAGACUCCCCGCCUAGCAGGGAGCCCGAUGCGGGACUUGAUCCUGGGACUCCAGGAUCAUGACCUGAGCCGAAGGCAGUCGCCUAACCAACUGAGCCACCCAGGCGCCCCUUAUUUUGUUUUUUGAUAUGAAUAUUUAAUUUUCUUUUUUCUACGUUUGUUUAAUUUACUGUCCUUGGGCAUUUACAUUGUAGCAUGUUGCACUGAAAUACAGUAUUUAUGUUAAUGGUAAUAAUGGCUUCACUUUUUUAUCUGUAUUUUUUCUCACUUAAUUUCCAGGGAUACUUAUUCCAUCUACUACUGCCUUAGAUCUUGACAACAAAUAAAGAUCUUGUUCUUACUAAGCACCCAUUAUAAGUGUAUCUCUGUUGUAGAUACAGUGUGGGAUUUGUAUGUUGUGUGCUGGAUCUAUACCCUGCCUAAAAUUGUGGAAACAGUUUUUUUAAAAAUAAGAAUUUGUGAAUGUAUUGAGUAUGUAGAAGGUGGAAUUUGUAUUUGGAUUAGUGCUUUGUAUAACCAUUGAAAAUGUAUGUAAAAUAUCAAAAAGUGCCUGAAAUAAUUACCUUUUUAAUCAAAUAUAUUGGUUUGUGACUUCCAUUGGGUGCUUAGUUCGCAUAUUGUUGAGAAGGUAUCUGGUAACUGGGAUCUGAUUUGCAAGAAGAUGCCUGUGAGGAAGAUACUAAGCGGGAAAUCUGCCCCAAGAUGUGUCUUGUUGAAAUAAAAUAACUGAGGCUUUCCAAAUGGAUCUUGUUUUAAAGAGGCAGUUGUUUUGUGGUUAAUGUAUGGACUUACUAUUCUUCUUAGUAUUAAUCAUAUGAUUUAUAUUUUCCCUUUUCAUUAUUUAACCUAUUCUGUACCUUACUAUUUAGUCUUUAAUAGUUCUGAAAUACAGAAAGUGGUAAUGGAGUCAAAUAUGUCAAAUGCCUGAGGUAUGUAGUAGAACUACACAAAUGUAAUUUUUUUCCUCCUUGAUAUAUAUAGUUAUGUUUCUGAAUUGUAUGUAUUUUAAAAGAGAAACUCAGAAGAGAACUUGAUAUAUAACCAUUUUGGUAGCUGCCUUAUUCAUAAUUAGCAAAUUAAUUCUAAAAUACCUUUAAAAAGUACUUAGGCUUCACUAGUGGACUUGUUAUUUUUAAAAACUCUUAAUAUUAGACUCUAGGCAUCUAUUUUUUUAUCCUUACAGCAAGGCUUUUUAUUUAUGUUUACUGUAUAUUUUAUAUAUCUGGAUAAUUUUUAAAGGUGUUUUCGAAUUUAGAGUGGCAGAUGAGAAGUAACACUUCAUAAGAGGUGACUAGGCUUUUGUUUUCCCCAUUUGAUCUGUGAAACACUUGUAUGAAAUAUUUAGAUGUUUUAAAAGUACAUUAAUAGUUAAAAAGUAAUCUAUUUUAAUUAAUUACCAGAAUUGCAUUAUUUUAAAUAAAAUUGUUUAUUUUGACCCUGAUUAUCAUUUAGAAUAUUUGAUGUAAAAGUUUACCAUGAUGGAUAGAAGAGUGCUUCUCUUCCAUUUUUUUUAUUUCCAAAAUGCUUAGUUUCAUGAUUUCCCCUUUAAAAUCAAAGAUGUAAGAAAAAUAAAUUUAAAGGCUUCUUGGCAAGAGGUUAGAGCCCUACCAAGAAGAAAUAGGGUUAGAUUUUCAAAGUACAGCCUUCGUAUUUGCUCUUCCUGUUCUUUUGGUGGCUGAAGUGGCAUUUCCGUUACUUUGUGUUCUGUCUCAGUGUGUUCCCUGUUAAACUGCUUUAUACAUUUCUCUAGAGAAUUGAAAUUCUUGUGUAUAUGGUCCUUUUAAUGGAGAAACAUUUCCGGGUAGUCAGAUUUUACUAAUGAUGUUCCUUUAGAAGAGAAUUCUGAUGAACCUAAACUUUUGUAUUAAUAUGUUCAGAGUUGUAAUUUGCCAGGUUACCGGAAUACAGUAUUAAGGAUUUUUCAAGUUAUACUAGAAUGUAGUGGCAGUACAGCAACGCAUGUUCUUUGUAUUUAUGCAUUGAUUUUAUGUUUAUUUAACUAAUAUUUAUUUGUGUUUACUUUGUGCUGGGCACCCACUGUACUAAAUACUUUACUUUUAUUAACUUUAUUCCUUUCAACAACUUUGUGAGCAAGGUUUUAUUAUUCUCACUAUUUUACUGAAGAACAAGCUAAGGCACUGAGAAGUUCAGUAAUUUGCUCAAGGUCAUAACCAGAAAGAGGAGAACUGGGAUUUGAACUCAGGUAGUCUAGCAUCAGGUUUGUGUUUUCAUCUCAUUGUGACGUUUUAUGUAAUGCUUUUCUGUUCCAAGGAAUGAAUAAACCAUAUAUAUUUAUUCAUGGCAGUGGUUCUUAAAAGUGUGUGGUCUUGGCACUUCUGGGAGUUCCUAAGACGCUUUCAGCUUAUUUGUGAGGUCAAAACUAUAUUCAUAUAACUAAGACAUUAUUUGCCUUUUUCAUUUUUGUUCUUUCACGAGUGUUCAGUAGAGUUUUUCAGGGGCUAUGUGAUGAUGUAUGAUAUUGCAACAAGAUUGAAUGUAAUACCAGGUAUGAUAAGCCAACAGUUUUCUAUUAAGCCAGAUAGAAAGUUUUGCAAAAAGGUAAAACAAUACCACUGUUCUAAAUUUUACUUUUGGAAAAUAUAGUUACUUUUCAUGAAAAAUGUUAGGAUGGAAUGAGAUUUAUUAUUUUAAAAAGAAUUAAUAGAUGAUUUUUAAAUUCUCAAUUUUAAUUCCUAACACAGUAAAUACCGAUUGAGAAAACCCACAUAAGCAAAAUCUUAUCAGGGUCCUCAAUUUUUAAGAUUGGAAGAGUUCUGAGACUAGAAAAUGUAACCCUAAGGAGGGAGUGUAUAUUAGAGAGGAGAAAAGGAUACUCAGGAAGUAGAUUUAAGAGGUCCUUUAAACUCUGAGUAAUUUGGUAGGUAAUAGUGACCCAGCCUUUGGAGGACUUAGAGCAAAAGAUGUGGCAUAAUCCUUUAUGUCACAUUGUUAAGUAGAUUGGAAGGAAGUGCAGUGUGACUUGGAAAGGAGACUGCUGGGAGCAAAAAGACUUUUAACAGUAAUACCUAAUUCUUUUCCUGAAAGGCCUUAAUAAAGUUCGUUAUUAAUUUGGACUCCUGACCCAUUUUUCCUCACCCUUUUUUUUUUUUUUUUUUUUUUUAAACAUCUUAGCUAUUCCUUUUCAGCCAAGCACUUUAGUUACCAGUUGUGAAAAUAAGUUCUUGACCCCCAGACUAUUACCAGUUGCACAUACCAUUCUUUGGACACAAAAUAGCUUCUUCUCUGUCAAAACAGAUACCUCCCUUCUUUUAAAUGUUGUAAAAACUAACUUGCUUUCCUUAACACUCACAGUUAAAGUAACCUCUUUUCCUAAAGACAUUACUGAAUAACUCCCCCUGAUCCUGUCAUUCCAACCUUAUUAUCACCAUUUAAAGUUUAUAAUUUUAUUUAAACUAUAGUUAGUAUCAUGCUUUUAUAUGUUUUGGGUUCACCCAUGUUUUCUCUGUAGAAUAGGAACUGUACUUUUCUGUACUGUUGUAUACUCUUCUCGAAGUACCUAAUCAGUGACCCUGUGGAUGCUCAGUAAAUAUUGGAUGAUUACACAUUUCCCUUCACGGCUCAGGCUAUUCCAUGAACAAUUUUGGGACACAGUAUAGAGAUCUAUUCCAGUAAACAUUGAAUAAUAUUUUUAUGGUGAUUUUCUUAGUUGCAGUGAGUGGUAAUUACUUGGUUUCAAAAUUAAAUGUAGGGGCGCCUGGGUGGCUCAGUUGUUAAGCAUCUGCCUUCGGCUCAGGUCAUGAUCCCAGGAUCCUGGGAUGGAGUCCCGCAUGGGGUUCCCUGCUUGGCGGGAAGCCUGCUUCUCCCUCUCCUCCCCCUGCUUGUGUUCCCUCUCUCGCUGUGCCUCUCUCUGUCAAAUAAAUAAAACCUUUUUUUUUAAAAAAAAAAUUAAAUGUAAAAGUUAAUCGGUAACAUUGAUAAAAAAUGUAAAAAAUUGCUAUGUGUUUCAUGGAACCCAGGAGGCACUAAGAGGGUUAGUUUUCUUGAAACAGUAGGUGAUAUUUUAAAAAUAUUGUCCCAGAAAAAAAAAAAAAUGGAGGUUGCAUUUGUUCAAUUUGAAAACUGUACUGAGGCAUGUUUUUGAGGAUAUGUUCUUGAAAGUAGAAGUUAAUUUAAAGAAUUAAACAGGGGACCAGAAAUAGAUUUGAAAUGUUUAUCAGAGUUGCUUCCUCAUACAACUCCAGAAGGUGGUGAUCACAUUGUAGUAUAUGUGCAUGGGGCCUCCAGAGUACUAACUGUAUGGCAGACUCAUUUUAGAUGUAAGGAAGGAUAAAGUAUACCUAAUAAUUUCAAAAUGCAAAAGGAAAGAAAUGAUUGUUUUAGAAUGAAUCUUUAUGAGAUAUGAGGCAACCGUUGGAGAGGAGUAGUGAUGGUUGUGAUAGUAGGACCACUAAAUCUUGGCCAUAAGUUGAUUCUAGGGGCAAGUGGGGAUUGCUGAAAGUUUUCUCUGAACACUUGGAAUUCUAGCAGUAAUUUCCAAAAUGGUGCUGAUAUUUGUAGUCAUAAACUUAAUACUUGAAAGCAUCCUAGGGGCUCUAAUUUUAUUCAAGGGACACUUCUUCCAAGUCGUGGUUGAAGCAGCUAGCACUGCUUUCCAAAUUUCUUCUCUCACUAAAGAUUAUAGGCAUACCACUGUACAAGUGACUUCAUAUUUCUACUUAAUGUACAUGUUUCUACUGGUUAUAGAUCUCUUCAUUUGAUAAGCACUGAACAAGGGUUGUGGUAUGUGUAUGUGAUGUUAAAAAUUUUAUGUGUUGUAAUAGAGUCAGUUAUCUUGUGGAUGCAUAAAUACGGAUGCACUAUAUUUUAAAUACAUCUAAUGUGUGAAAAUUUUACUGUAAUUCAAGUAUAUGCCAAAAAUUUAGUAGCAGGAUGGUAUUCACAUCAUUCACGCAGGGUUGGCAAACCCCUCUUUUUUAAGAAAAAGAUUUUAUUUAUUGAUUUAUUAGAGAGCAGGCACAGUGGGCGUGCACAUGGACAGGGAGAGGAGCAGAAGGGGAGGGAGAGGAAGGGGAAAGAAUCUCAAACAGACUCCAGGCAUCCCACAACCCUGAGAUCAUGACCUGAGCUGAAACUGAAGAGUCAGAUGCCUAAUCCACUGAACCACCCAGGUGCCCCAGCAGACCUUUUUGAUGUCCUGGAAACAGUUUGCAGAAAUCUGAUUCAUGUAGGAUACUGAAUAAUUUGAAAUAUUGUUUAAUCCAAAUCUAAUGUGAGAAAGGGGGUUAUGAGGCAAAGUGAUUUUUUUUUUUUUGCAAUUUUUACAUUGAGAGGUAAUUCUUCAACUUAAAAUUCAUUUUAAAGUAUACAAAUCAGUGGUUUUUAGUAUAUUCACAGUGUUGUGUGCAGCCAUCACCACUAUCUAAUUCCAGAACAUUUUCCAUUGCCCUCAAAAGAAAUCACAUUAUCUGUUAGCAAUAGCUUCCAUUUUUUUCCCCUACCCUCAUUCUCUGGCAACCAUUAAUCUAUUUUCUGUCUAUGGAUUUUCCUCUUCUGGACAUUUCAUGUUAAUGGAAUCAUGCAUAUGUGGCCUUUUAUGUCUGACAUCUUUCCCUUAGCUUAAUGUUUUCAAGGUUUAUUUAUGUUGUAGCAUGUAACAGUACUUCAUUCUUUUUCAUAACCUAAUAAUAUUCCCUUGUGUGGAUAUGCCACAUUCUAUUUAUCCAUUCAUCCAUUGAUGGACCUUUUGGUUGGUUACCACUUGAAACCCAUUAAGAAUAAUACUGCUAUGAACAUUUCCUGUAUGAGUGUUUGUGUGAACAUGUGUUUUUAGUUCUCUUGAGAAUUGCUGGGUCAUACAGUUAAUUAUAUUAAACUUUUUGAGAAAUGACCAGACUUUUUUCCACAGCCACUGCACCAUUUUACAUUCCCAACAGCAAUGUAUAAAAGUUUCAGUUUUUUUACAUUUUGCCAGCCCUUGUUAUUUUCAGGUUUUUAAAAAUUAAAAAAAAAUUUAUAUUGUACCCAUUCUAUAAAUGGGUAUUAAGUGAUAAUCAUGUGAUUUUGGUUUGCAUUUCUCUAAGGACUAAUGAUGUUGAGCAUCUUUUUAUGUGCUUCUUGACCUUUGUAUGUCUUUGAAAAAAUGUCUCUUCAGAUCGUUUGCUCAUUUUUAAAUUUGGUUCUUUAUAUAUUUGAAUACUAGAAGAGUUCUUUACAUUUUCCAGAUGCUUGAUCUUCAUAUGAUUUGCAAAUCCUUUUUUCCCAUCCUGUGGUUUAUCUUUCCACUGUUUUUGAUAUUGCCCUUUGAUGCACAAACAUUUUUAAAUUUGAACUUGCAAUUUUUGUUUUUUUCUUUGAUUGUGCUUUUGGUGUAAUAGCUAAGAAACCUUUGGCUAAUCUAAAAUUAUUCAGAUUUAUACCUAAACUACUCUUACAGAGUUUUAUAGUUUUUAGCUCUUAUGUUUAGGUUUGAUCAAUUUUGAGUUAAUUUUUGUAUAUGGUGUGAGGAGGCAGGGUAUGGUAUUAAGAAAAAUUAAGGAUAUUUUUUUUCCCUUCUUUUGAAGUUGUCACAGGGUGCAACUCUACUAUGCCCCUGUGUAAUGUGGAUAUAGAGAUCAGUGAGGGAGGAAAAAAAGAUUUCCUUGUUGGUACUGAGUUAUAUAGUUCAUUGAUAAAUGGAAAUAUUUGAGUCAAACAUUCUUUCAGCUGGAUGGACCACUUAAUCUAAUCCAGCACACUUUUUUUUUUUUUUUUUUAAGGUUCUCAAUAUAGUGUUUUAAGUAUGUGGAGAGAUAAUACUUAGUUGUGUGAGUAUCAAUAAGCAGUUACUUUUGUCUACACAAAAUUGUGUGUUUCCAUAGUAUCUUGUACUUCCCUGUAAACACUCUGUUGUUUUAAUUUAUAGCUUCUAUAGUUAUAAUUUUUUUCAUAAACAACCCUUGCAUGUCCGUGUCUUCUUUACUGUGCUACAAACAGCAUAUAGCAAGUAUGCAGUAAAAAGAUGCUGAAUGAAUAAAGGGGGAAUGAAAUUUUCAUGGGGGGGAGGUUUCUAAUGUGUUUUCAAACAAUGUUUUAGGGUUUUUAAAUAAAGGAAGAGGACAAUUGCUGUAGAAAUAAUAGUCUUUGCUAUGAGUAGUGGUUGUUUAAACUUCUUAUCUUUCCAUGAUCAAGUAAAUUCUUUAUUGGUUGAAGAUGUGAGGAAUUACGGAAGUUGGGAAAUAAACUUCCAGAGUUAGAUUAUGUAAAAUUAGAGCAGUUUAACACAGUAAAAUAUUACUCAUUGCAGGACCUACCUAUAAUUGGUAUAUUUAACUUCAAAUAGAUAAGUUCAAAUUAAUCAAAUCUUGGGUUUUCUUCUUUCCUUUUCUUUCUUUCCAUUACUAUUAUUAUUUGCUUAUGUGUGAUUGUUAAAAGUGAAUUCCAAGGCAGUCCUUGAUUUUAAACUUUGUGUUAUAUGUGAUAGUCCACGUCUGAUAGCAGCAUGCCAUAGGGCCUUGUUUGCUAAGCGUUGUGUGCUUUGUUUUAUAAAACAUUAGCAAAACAUUUAAAGUGCAAAUAAAGAUACCCAGAAAUGAAGUAUAUGACUUUAAUAAGCUAUGCUGAAUGAGCCAAGCAAUGACCUUAAUUGAUUUUUUCCUACUCCCCCCUUCAACUAUGCCCUUUCUUUCCUGGUUUUAGGAUUCUGUGGUGAACUGUCUUUGAAAAUCCAAAUUAAUUUUCUUUUGAAAGUGAAAUGUAGGUAAAUCUUAAUUCAUUUGUGAACCUAAUGACCUAAGAGUUAAUUAUUUUGUGUGACUUUUUUUUUCUUGGAGAAGGUCUUAGUAGAAAAAAAUUGUACGAGCAAAUAUGUAUUUUUUAAAUUUUGUGUUACUUUAUUAAAAUUCUCGAGGAGCUAUGAAAAUCUUUUGCUUGCUCUAUGAGUAAGAAUAUGGGGCAAAGGUUUUGUUUGGGCCAAAAGAUGGAGUUCUGUUUAACGUUGAGCAGUACCAACAAAAAUUCUAGUCAGAAGCAGUUAGUGUGGGGUGCUGAGAGAAAGUGAUCAAGAUUGAGAAAAGAAUGUAAAGGUGAAUGACACUUGAUUCUUACCUUAAAAGGAACAUGAGAUCUAAUAGUGAAAAUGUGUAAACAAAUAAUUGUAAUACAUCAAGAUAAAUGUAUAAUACUUUUUACAUAACAUACCAAAGUAGGGGCUGGAUUAAGUAAUUUUGAAGGUUAGUCACAGCUUCAUAGAGGAGCUAACAGCUAUUUUAAGGAUGAAUAGUUAUUUGCCAGAUGGGACAAAGGAGUUUCUUUUCAAUAGGUUAGCACAUGCAGUGACAUAGAGGCAAGAAAGAGCAUUAUGAUAUGUUUGGGGGAAACUUUCAGUAGUUCUGUAUUGUGGAAUGCAAAGUGUUAAUAAAAGAGGGAAAUGAGGCUGGAGAGGGAGACAUUAAAGGUUUUACAGGGGCAGAAGUUAUCUUGAUAGAUCUUUAGCCCUCCUCCCCAAAUCCUCAUUUUAGAGUCCCUUUUCCUCCUGCUUAUUAGCUGCUUUCCCUAGCUUUAGAUGUCAGUGCUGUGGAACUGGGGAAGUGUUCUUUCCUUUUUCUAGGUAAUUUGUGGUAGGAUUAUUGAAAGGGAUAGGAAGAAAGAAAUGCACAGUCCUGUUGACCACUUGUGCAAGGGUUUAAAUGAGCUUGGCAUGUGAAAUUGGACUUCUGAAUAUUGUUAUACAUGGUGUUUGGGUUGCUAAAUAAAAUCAGCUACACUUAUCUCAUGGCUUUUGUGGGUUUGUGUGGAAAUUGAGUUUUUUUGAGUUCCAAACUUAUGAAUGAACUUAAACAGAAAAUGCGGUGAUGGUCAUUAGGAAUACAAAAGAUUUGAUAAACCAGUUAAAGUUAGUAAGAUUCUUGAGGGCAUGUUUGAUUUAUGUGAUUUAACUACUGAUAUCUGUUUAUCUGCAAAUGAUACAUUAAUUAUUAGUCAUUCAUAGGUUUUUUUUUUUAAGAUUUAUUUAUUAGAGAGAGAGAGAGUGAGCGCACACAGGGAGAGGGAGAGAGAGAAGCAGAACCUCCCCGCUGAGCAGGGGAGCCUGAUGAGGGGCGCCAUCCCAGGACCCUGAGAUCAUGACCUGAGCUGAAGGCAGACGCUUAACCAACUGAGCCACCCAGGCAGCCCCGUCAUUCAUUGAUUUUUAAAGCUGGAUUUCUACCAAAUAAGAGUUUAUUAGUCUUGUGGAAAUUAAUGUACUCAUUAGCAAUUGCGUAUUGAGUGUCUACUGUGUAUCUGAGUUACUGUGUUGAGAUUAUUGAGAAAUCCAAAAAUGACAUUUCUGAUCAUGUCCUCAGUCUAGUAGAGAAGAUGACGUAUACAGAUAGUUGUAUUAUCAGGCAGUGUGAAAUAAAGUUCAUAUCAAAUGACAUUGAAAAUCACAGGAGAGAAAGAUACUGCUUUUGAUGCGGGGGAGAACUGGACCUUAAAUUAUACAUAGUCAGGAACAGUAGGGCAUUGGAAGUGGAGGAAACAGCUCCACAUUAGCAGGUAGGAGGGCUAGAAGUGUGUUUGGGAACAAAGGAGUCUAUUAAUUGUAGAGGGUGAAUGGGGUCCUUUGGGGCUUCAAGGGGGAUAGGUUUGGGAGUAAGGAGAAGUACAGUGGGAGCAGUUGAAGCUAGAUUGUGGAUGGGGUAUGGAUUUUAAUCAUAAACUUUAGAUAUCCAUGUAGCUUUUGACUCCUGUGGGUAAAGUUGGACCAUAGCACUGAUUUUCAAAAUUAUACUAUAUCUUUAUUUUCUGUCUCUAGUGUUAAAAUAUGGAAGACAAGGAGUUUUGCUGAUCUUGAAGGUGAAAAUGAGAUUUUGCUGCUUCAUGCUUUUUAUAUUAGCUUUAUUAUUAUAGACUGCAUUAAUAGUGGCAAUAUCUGAGGUUCUUGGAAUUUCUGAGUCCAUAGAUUAUGCAGCAAUUAUUGAAAAAGUCUUCUAAACAGAAAUGAUAUAUACCUAAUUUUGAUUUGGACAUAGAGAUUUUAUGAAAAUUUAAGGAGACUUUUCAGGCUUCGGUGUUCUACAAAAUCUGAUCAGAUCAGUUUAAUUAGGACAUAACCUGCAUUAUAGGGAUAAGAGCUAAUAAGAUUUAUUUUUUUUUUAAGAUUUAUUUAUUUAUUAGAGAGAGAGAGCAUGAGAGAGGGGAAGGGCAGAGGGAGACGCAGACUCCCCGCUAAGCAAGGAGCCCCAUGUGGGACUCGAUCCCGGGACUCCAGGAUCAUCACCUGAGCCAAAGGCAGUCGCUUAACCAACUGAGCCACCCAGGCGCCCCAAGAGCUAAUAAGAUUUAAAGAACCCUUUCUGUCUUGAACUAUAACAUAAUCCUUCUAAAACCUAUUGAAUAUAUAGCUUAUUUAAGCUGUAUUGUACAAAUACAUAAAUUGAGAUUGCUAGUAAAAGGAUAUAGAGACUAAAUUUUACCAUUAAAAUGCAAUGAAGAACCUGAAGUAGAAGUCAGGCAGUUUUGUAGGGAAUGGGAUAUUGUUGGGAGAAAGUCUUUCUUUCAGAAGUAUAAUUUCAUAAAUACGUAAAAUUACAGUUGGAAACAGCAACUUCCUGUACUUCUUAGAGCAAAUUAUUAAUAUGCUUCAAGGGGAAUAAUCCCCGAACUGAUAUAUGGGAGGCUGCCCCAGCUACAUUUGACCUUAGGAACAUCCCUUACUCAAAUUUCUUAUUUUCUAAAUUGCCUCCCUGCUCUGCUGUCCUGUGAUGUUAUAUAUUUGUGUCCCUCCAGCUUUUGGGUUCUUGGCUUAGUACUUUGGAAACUAAGAUUAUGGAGAGUUUCUAUAUGAGCUUUUGCUUCAUUUUCCAUUGGAGUGUCCCACCUACCACUGUAUUAUCAUUACUUGAAAAACAAUUUGAACUUGCAUAUCUUACUGUCAUUAGGAAUGAGGGACUGCAUUGUUUUAUGUGGCUUUGUUUUAGGAGGAAAUUGCCAAAAAAAUGUGCCAGGAUUAUAAAUUGAUACCUGAAAAAGGGUGAGGAUGGUAGUCACUUAACUAAUGCCAUAGACUGAAUGAUCUACACUGGCUAAUGUCUUUUUUUUUUUUUUUUAAUUUUAUUUUAUUAUGUUAUGCUAAUCACCAUACAUUACAUCAUUAGUUUUUGAUGUAGUGUUCCAUGAUUCAUUGUUUGCGUAUGACACCCAGUGCUCCAUUCAAUACGUGCCCUCUCUAAUACCCAUCACCAGGCUAAUCCAUCCCCCCCACACCCCUCCCCUCUAGAACCCUCAGUUUGUUUCUCAGAGUCCAUAGUCUCUCAUGGUUCAUCUCCCCCUCUGAUUUCCCCCCUUCAUUUUUCCCUUCCUACUAUCUUUUUUUAACAUGUCAUGUAUUAUUUGUUUCAGAGGUACAGGUCUGUGAUUCAUUAGUCUUACACAAUUCACAGCACACCAUAGCACGUACCCUCCCCAAUGUCUAUCACCCAGCCACCCCAUCCCUCCCACCCCUACCACUCCAGCAACCCUCAGUUUCCUGAGAUUAAGAAUUUCUCAUAUCAGUGAGAUCAUAUGAUACAUGUCUUUCUCUGAUUGACUUAUUUCGCUUAGCAUAAUACCCUCUAGUUCCAUCCAUGUCAUUGCAAAUGGCAAGAUUUCGGUUUUUUUUUUUUUUUAAUGGCUGCAUAAUAUUCCGUUGUAUAUAUAUACCACAUCUUCUUUUUUUUUUUUUUUUAAGAUUUUAUUUAUUUAUCUGAGAGAGAGCAUGAGAGGGGGGAGGGUCAGAGGGAGAAGCAGACUCCCCGCUGAGCAGGGAGCCCGAUGUGGGACUCUAUCCUGGGACUCCAGAAUCAUGACCUGAGCCGAAGGCAGUUGCUUAACCAACUGAGCCACCCAAGCGCCCCUAUACCACGUCUUUUUUAUCCAUUCAUCUGUUCUUGGCUGUCUUUUUUUUUUUUUUAAUAUUUAUUUAUUUGUCAUAGGGGGAGAGAGAGCACAAGCAGGGGGAGCAGCAGGCAGAGGGAGAAGCAGGCUUCUUGCUAAGCAGGGAGCCUGAUGUGGGACUCUUUCCCAGAAACCUGGGAUCAUGACCUGAGCUGAAGGCAGACGCUUAACCCAGGCGUCCCAUGGCUAAUUAGUCUUGAUGGCAGUUGGUCAUAAUGGGAGAUCAGCUGUGGGUAUAUAAUGGAGCAUCACUAAUCUCUCACCAUAUGCACAUAUGUAUAGUAACAUCAUCUUAAAGUUAUUUGGUUAUGUGAUGAAUUUGUGAAUUAUUUCUCAAACCUUAUUUUUAUCCCUUAACUUCAGAGAACCAUAGAAAUCUAAGCAUUAUUGUUUCAAAGAUUCUUAAUUUAUAUGUUUGUUGGAAGGACUUUGUUUCUGAAGUGUAUGUAUACUGUAUAUAUAUUGUACAUGGGGGUUGAAUAGAUCUACUUAUUAAAACUAGAACUCUAGAAUAGACCAAGGUUGCAUCAGUUCUUCUGAUUAGCUGCUUACUCAUGUUUGGUCUCAACCUUUUUACUCACAGUACUUGUACAUGUAGCUAGUUUUGAGUUGACUUUCAAAUACUUGUCAAAUACAGUGUGAGCUGUCUUUCUCUUUGGCUUUUUACCUUUUGUGUCUUGAAAUUAAAUAAGAAGCUUAUUGGUGUAGUUUAGAAUAAUCUUUAGUUGUAUUCAAUUCAUAAUUAUAUGUAGGACACUUGUUUUAAUAGUUGCUUGUACCUUUUCUAACUGCUAAGUUUGUCUGCAGAUAGCAUCUUUGGAAAGAGGGGUGCAAUUUUGGAAAGGUGUAGCAUUUAUCUUAGGUGGGAUGGUAAUUCUGAAACUUCAGAUCUUCAAAGAAGGGAAUGAAAACACCUUGUGUUUAUAUCGUGGAUGUAUUGUUUUUUUAUGUUGGAUCACUGUAAUGCUUUCAUUUUGUUUUCCUAUAAAUAAAUCUUUUUUUAUUCUUAUAUCAAGUGAUGUUUUUUUAUUCUGUUAAGUAAUUAUAUUUUCUGGUAAAUUAAAAAUUAAUAGAAGUAAUAGUUGCCUUUGGGGUAGUACUUACUAAAAUAUGAUUUACCUUACCUCUAAGAUCCUUAUUUGGAAUCUGGGAUGGGACUAGAGUGUCAAGGUUUGGAAAUCAUCACUUUGGAAUACUAGAAUGGAAUCCUAAACAGUCUCAAAAUUAAGGAGACAAACCUGAAUCCCUCUAUUCUUGCUACAGUCCUAUUGUUUUGCUGUACAGUCUGCCAUCUAGUGGUAGGAAUGCAGAAUACACCAGAACGCCAAGGAGAAGCUGUAAGUUUUCACUUUUUUAUUAUUAAGAAAACUUACAUAGCAGGCUAAAACAUUCUGAUAAUGAGGGAAAAAAAAGAAUGACUGUUUCACUUGAAAAUAUAAAUCAGUAGUAGUGAAUUGAGAGUAUUCAAAGAGUAUGUGUUUUUUUGUAGAGUAUUUAUAUGACUUAAACUUUAUUCUGCUCUUGUAAGAUUUAUGUAUAUGUAACAGAUUUGUUGAAGAGGCAAAUGCAUAAAUAAUGAUAGAUGAUUUUAAGAGACAGAUUGGACUGAUUUAAAAAAGAUACUUGUAUAUUGAUUAAAAUUUUAGAGCAACUACGUAACGAUUCCAUUAACUAAAAUGAUUUAUUUUGCAUUUUUAAAAUUAAAGUACAGACAAUUCAGGAAACUUGGCUUGUGUUCAGCUAUGACCUAAGAGGCUAAAUUUCAGCUGUGUAUUAACAUGGUAGCUUAGGGUUAGCUUUGUUUACCUAGCUCCAUCUGAAUUGUUUUCUUAGGUAGUCCCUCUUUAGUUCCACUUCUUUCCUCUCCUACAGAUACAGAGGAGGUCAAUCCUUUCUUUUUUGUUACUUUCUAAAGUGUUCUGAAAGCACCCAACACUUGACACUUACAUGAUCUAUCCUACAUAUACUGCAGACUUAGGAAUACUUCCUAAAUCUAUGUUAAAGUUUUUUUGGUUUUUUGUUUUGUUUUGUUUUGUUUUUGACAGAGAGAGAGCAGGUACAAGCAGGAAGCAGCAGGGAGAGGGAGAAGCAGACUCCCACUGAGCAAGGAGCCCAGUGCAGGACUCGAUCCUGGGACCCUGGGAUCAUGACCUGAGCUGAAGGCAGCUGCUUAACCGACUGAGCCACCCAGGCACCCUAUGUUAAAUUUUUUAUUCCUCUUUUUAAAAACUGAUUUCUUUGGGUAGUCUCCAUAAGCAAAUGAAAUUAGCACUGAGGGGAGGUCUUUUUGGGUUAAUGUGUCUUCAAAAAAAGCUUUGUUUAAAAUAAAUAGGGAUAGCCAGAUAAUGAGAGAAUUUUUAAUGGCUUGCUUAUAGGAACUUUUCUGUUGAAUAGUUUUUAAGGGAAGAAAACCUCUUGUUUUACAUGGCGAUUAAAAAAAUCAGUCAAAAGGAAAGAAAAACUGGGGCACCUGGCUGGCCCAGUCAAAAAAGCAUAUGACUUUUUUUUUAAAUUUAAUUUUAUUAUGUUAGCCGCCAUUCAUUACAUCAUUAGUUUUUGAUGUAGUGUUCCAUAUAACACCCAGUGCCCCAUUCAGUACUUGCCCUCCUUAAUACCCAUCACCGGGUAACCCAUCCCCCCACCCCCCUCCCCUCUGAAACCCUCAGUUUGUUUCUCAGAGUCCAUAGUAGCAUGUGACUCUUGAUCUUUUGAUCUAGGUGUCAUGAGUUUGAGCCCCACCAUGGGUGUAGAGAUUACUUGAAUAAAUCUAACUUAAAAAAAAAGGGAAAGAAAAACUUACUAUGGUAUAAACAGGUUAAAUAUAGUAUGUGCUAUUACCAAAGUGUUAUCUUUAUAUUUCUUAGUUUUCACAUGUAUGAAUCUUUUGUUCGUUCAUUUUGCAGAGAACCCAGUGACAGAAAUAGCGUAUCUACUUGUGUUAACAGAUCGGUUUUUCCUGCAGCUGCAACUUAUUUUUUUAGUAAGAUGGGCCUUUGCCUUUUUUUUUUUUUUUUUAAAGAUUUUAUUUAUUUGACAGAGAAAGAGAGAGCACAAGCAGGGGGAGUGGCAGGCAGAGGGAGAGGGAGAAGCAGUCUCCCCGCAGAGCAGGGAGCCCGAUGUGGGACUUGAUCCCAGGACCCCGGGAUCAUGACCUGAGCUGAAGGCAGUUGCUUAACCAACUGAGCCACCCAGGCGCCCUGCCUUACUUUCUUUGUGGUUUUUGGAGGUAACUUAAGGUUCAUCUACCAUGGUGAGAGAUUGAACUUAUAUUCACAGUAUUGGCCUACCUCUGGAACAGUGGGUACCAGAUUUUCAGCUGUUCCACCAUGUAGCUCUUGUGCGUGUACCACCUCUUCCUCACAUGCUUGAAGAAAUAAAAGAACACAUCAUGGCUGUCCUUUCUGCCACUGAUCAUGGUAUUCCCCAAAGGAUCUGGAAUGUCCUUGUAUAUUGUGACUUAGCUCCUUUAGCUUCUUAGUAUUUUUAUCAAAGCCAUUUGGAUAUCUUUAUUUCUUUUUAAUACUUUGAAAUGCACCCUUCUCUCUUUUCAAAUUAAUUCAUCUUUGUAAUUCUUUUCCCCAGUCCUUGUUACUUGUACCAAGCAUUCUAUGGUAUGUGAGUCUUUCCCCAGUUUUUACCUUCAUACCCAAUUAAAAAGUUAGUAUAGGAUUGGUAUUUGCUGUGUGACAUGAAAUGUGCUUAUUGAGAUUUGUAAAAUUAUGGAAAUAAUAGUGGUAUAGGUCUUUUACAUAUUGAUUUCGGCUACCUGUUCAUAUAUAAUUUAGUUGCUGGAUAAUUUUGAAAGCGGUCAGUUCUUUUUGCAUCAGCCUAUUGAGGACAUCAGUAUAUAUCAGGAAAUAUUAUACAUCUACAGUUUUUAAAAAUGGAAUCUUACUCUGUAAUGUUCUUUAACAUGGCUUUGAUUUAAUGUACCCUGAGCAUUUUCCCGUCAGCCUUUUUUGCCCUGUUUGUUGGCCUCGUAGUAUUUCAUUGUAAGACUGCUGUCUUUACCAUUAUUGAACAUGUCCUCUCACGUUGUCACUUAGCUCCUUUAGUUUCAUUGUACUUUUAUCAAAGCCAUUUGGAUAUAUUUAUUUCUUUUUAAUACUUUGAAAUGCACCUCUCUCUUUUCAAAUUAAUUCAAUUCUUAUUACUUGUACUGAACAUUCUGUAGUGUGUAAGUCUUUUCCCAGUUUUUACUUUCACAUCCAAUUAAUAAGUUGGUUAGACUUAUUUCUUAAGGUAUAAGCCGGUCUAUGAAGACCAUAUUUCUGAAUUAAUUCUAAGGGGAAUUAUGUAAAAGUAUUAAUGUUGUGUUUCACAUGGGGGACCCCGCAAACUAUAAAGUUAAAGUGGUAACAUUUACCUCUUAAUUCAGACUAUACUUUGUGACCCCUUACACAAAAAAAUGAGUGGAGAAGUAAUAUUUAAGAUUGUUCAGUCCAUUUCCCAGACAUUUGACACUUAUGAUAAGGGCAAAUGUGCCUCUUUUUAUAAAAUUCUUUUGCCGUAAGUCUGAUUUCAACUUGUGUGUUUUAUAAAUACUUUCAAAUUUAUUCCAAAUGAGAAAAAUAUUGCUGAUACUUUUAAAAAAGCAAAAGUUCAGAAACUUCUUGUCCUCUCGUGUUUCUUGACUACUGUUUUUGUUGCUGUUUCUUGGAAUAGUUGUUCUUACCAUUUGUACUCCUACCCAGGAAAGAUUUCAAAGAUCUGAUCAGUGAAGCAACAUUUGAUGAUCCACUUAAUUUGCCUUCCAAAUUUAGUGUAUCUCUAAUUUUCUAGAUGAUUGAAGAAAUGAGUCCUUUCAGUGAAAUUGUGUCUUUCAUAAGCUCACAGUAGACAUCAUACAAGAGUAUAAAGCUCAAAUCCUUUCUUCUAAGACCAGGAACAAGACAAGGAUGCAACUUCUGUGCCACUUCUAUUCAACAUGGUACUGCAAAUCUUACCCAGAGCAACUAGGCAAGGAAAAGAAAUAAAAGGCAUCCACAUUGGAAAGAAGUAAAACUGUCACUGUUUGUGGAUGACAUAAUAUAUAGAAGACCCUAAAGACUUCAUUAAAAAACUGUUAACUAAAAAACGAAGUCAGUAUAGUUGUAAGAUAAAAAAAUCAACACACAAAAAUCUGUUGCAUUUCUGUGUACUGAUAAUUAUCAGGAAAAUAAAACAAUCCCGUUUAUAGUUGCAUUAAAAAGAAAAUUCCUAGGAAUAAACUUAACAAAGGAGGUGAAAUACCUGUAUAUUGAAAUCCACAGCACUUAAUAAAAGAAAUUGAAGAAGACACAAAUAUAAAGGUACCCUGUGCUCAUGGAUUGGAAGAAUUAAUGUCGUUAAAAUAUCCAUACUAUCCAAAGCAAUCUACAGAUGCAGUGCAAUUUCUACCAAAAUUCCAAUGGGAUUUUUUCAAAGAAAUAGAACAAAUAAUUCUAAAAUUUACAAAAACAACCAGACACACACACAAAACAGUCUUGAGAAAGAACAAAACUAGAGGCAUUACACACCCUUCUUCAAUUUAAACUAUAUUACAAAGCUACUGUAAUUAAAACAGUAUGGUAUUAUCAUAAAAGUAGGGAUACAGAUCAAUGGAACAGAAUAGAGAACCCAUGAAUAAACCUGUGCAUAUAUGGUCAAUUAAUUUAUGACAAAUGAGCCAAAAAUAUACACCCGGGAAAGGAUAGUCUCUUCAGCAAAUGGUUCUGGGACAACUGGGCAGCCACAUGCAAAAUAAUGAAACUCAACCACUGUUACACCAUAUAAAAAAUGAACUCAAAAUGGAUUAAAGAAUGUAAGACCUGAAGCCAUAAAACUCCUAGAAGAAAACAUAGAUGGUAAACUCCCUGACAUAGGUUUUGGUGAUGAUUUUUUGCAUAUGGGCUGGUGAGGCGAGCACAGUGAUGAUUUUUUUGAAAUCAUUUUGAAGCAACAAAAGCAAAACUAAGUGGGAUUGCAUCAUACUAAAAGGCUUCUGCACAGCAAAUGAAACCAACAAAAUGAAAAGGCACCCUACCGAAUGGGAGAAAAUAUUUGCAGAUCAUACAUCUGAUAAGAGGUUAAUACUUAAAAUAUAUAAAGAACACAUACAAUUCAAUAGCAAAAACCAAACAGUUCAAUUAAAAAAUGAUGAACUGAAUAGACUUUUUUUUUUUAAAGAAAACAUAGAGCCAACAGGAAUGUAAAAAGAUGUUCAACAUUGUUAAUCAUCAGGGAAAUGCAAAUCAAAACCACAGUGAGAUAUCACCUCACGCCUGUUGAAGUGGCCAUUAUCAAACAGACAGAUACCAAAUGGAGAAGGGGGAAUGCUUGUGCACUGUUGAUGGGAAUGUAAAUUGGUAUACCUACUUGGAAAACAGUAUGGAGGUUCAUCAAAUUGAAAGUAGAACUACUUACUGUAUGAUCCAGCAGUUCCACUUCUGGGUAACUUGAAAAGAUAUAUACACCCUCGUGUUCAUUGUCGUAGUAUGUGCAAUUGCCAGGAUAUGGAAGCAUCCUAAGUGUCCACUGAUGGAUGAAUGCAUAAAGAAAUUGUGGUAUGUUUGCACAGUGGAAUAUUAUUCAGCCACAAAAAAGAAUGAAAUCUUGCCAUUUGCAACAACAUGGAUGGAUCUCCAAGGCAUUAUACUAAGUGAAAUAAGUCAGAGAAAGACAAAUACCAUGUUACCUCUUACGUGAGGAUAUUAAGAAAAGCUGAUAGAUACAGGGGACAGAUUGGUGGUUGGGGAAUGAGGGUGGGAGAAAUGGGUGAAGGGGUUUAUUGGUAAAAAUGCAAUUGAUAUAAAACAAAUUUGGAAUCAUUUAAAAUAUUUAUGUUUAUAUAUUAAUAUAUGUGACAUAGGUGUAUUAUAUGUAAUAAAAGCACUGAAAAAGAAUAGUAUUUAAUUAGUAUUUGUUGAGACUUUCUUAAUAUAUAGUUCCAACAGCAUUAACUAAUCCUCAGAACAGUCUUAUGAUGUAGACACAUGCACACCAAAAAAAGUAUAUUUCAUCGUGAUCCUUUUGAAAGAGAUAGUGUAGGGGUGCCUAGGUGGCUCAGCUGGUUAAGCGACUGCCUUCGGCUCAGAUCAUGAUCCGGGCGUUCUGGGGUCGAGUCCCGCAUCUGGCUCCUUGCUCAGCAGGGAGCCUGCUUCUCCCUCUCCCUCUACCUGCUACUCCGCCUGCUUAUGCUCUCUCUCUCUCUCUGUCAAAUAAAUAAAUAAAUAAAUAAAUAAAUAAAAUUCAAAAAAAAAAAAAAGAUAGUAUAGCAUUUGGCCAAAUGAUUAUGAUACAUUGUGGGGGUUUUGUUUUUGUUUUUACUAAUACUGUUUUUAGCCAAGUUUAUUUAUUAGAAAAUCUACUUGGGUAUCAGCAUAGUUUUGAUAUAUGUAGUCCAGUGAAUGCCUGAAUAGUUGGGAACUUGACACCCUCAGCAUUCUGCUAAUGGUGCAUGCCUGACUUGCUGUGAAAGUGAACCCUAAGUGGCUUAAGUUUCUAAAAUUGGUGAACUCUGCCUUGGGAAAUGAAUCCAUCUGGUGAUUGGUUACUACUAAAUUUUUGAUAUUUUGCUGGACAUUUUCCCCUGGAAAAAAUUCUAUUUUGCAUUUUUGUUUUAAAUUGAUUAGAGAUUUAGGACUUGCACUAAAUUGGCUAAUUGGGUAUUCACUUGGUAUAUAUGUUUCCAAGCACCCUUACCUUUUACAAAAAUUUAAUUCUGUUCAUGAAUCUGUCGCUACUAUAGUAGUGAGUUUCUGUGACCUGACCUUUCGGAAAGUCUAAUUUGUGUUAAUACAGGUAAUGUCUACUUUAUCUACCUCAGACAUUGUUGGAGGGGCAUAUUAGAUAAUAAAAGUGAGAGUAUUUUGUUUGUAUAGUAGGGAUUGGUUCCUUCCACUGUCUCUGGAAAGAUGCUCUUAGGUUUCUGUUGUAGGCCUAUUUUCUUCCUCCCUUUAAGUACUAGAAUCCUCAUAAAUUCUCAUGUAUACCUAACGCAAAGAGCCUAUAUCCCAUGUAGUAAUUUUUUUUAGUGUGGGGUUUAGGAAUUAUUAAUAAUGUAAUAUCAAGAAGGUAUUUCAGUUUUUAUAUUAAGGUAAAUAACUAAAAGAAAAUAUAAGAUGUGUUUCCAUUUAGAACCCUUUUGAUUGCUAAGGGAAAUUUAAUAUCAAGUUUGUGGUUUUUAAGAAUUCUUCUGAAUUGAGAAUGGGAAAAGCAGUAGCUAUCAAGAUUCCCAUGAUAUGUGUGAUUCUUGUUUGGAAUGAUUGGAGGUGGGAUAACAUUUUCCUUCCUCAGUUGUUGGAACUCAGACUUGGAAGCGUUUUCAAGCUAUUGUAGUAGAGACAUUGUGCAGAGGAAAAAUUACUGCCUAGAGAACUGCUUGAGUUAAAAUACUAUAAGGGAAGUAUAUUCUGUAGAGUCGGUGUAACUAUUCAGUGUUUCUUCUCCCAGGAAUAUUUGUAUAACUUUGGUUUUGUAUUUGGUCUACUGUGGAUUCAUAAUCUCAACAUGAAUUUUUUUUUUUUUUUUUUAAAGAUUUUACUUAUUUGACAGAGACACAGCGAGAGAGGGAACACAAGCAGGGGGAGUGGGAGAGGGAGAAGCAGGCUUCCCGCAGAGCAGGGAGCCCAAUGCAGGGCUCCAUCCCAGGACCCUGGGAUCAUGACCUGAGCCGAAGGCAGACGCUUAACGACUGAGCCACCCAGGCGCCCCUCGGCAUGAAUUCUUAUUUCUUCUUCCUGUUUAAUGUGAAGUGCUGUAUUUUAGUUUCUGGAGUUACCUUCAGUUUUUAUGUGAUCGUUUCUAAAGUAUACUGUAGUUUUCAUAAGCAUUGUAAUAAAAACCUUUAUUUGUUAGAUCCUCUCCAACCUGAAAUUUGAAAAUUUUCACAUGUAAUGGGCUCAGGUUUGUUUUUUAUUCCUUUGGCAAUAGCAGAUUGUGCAAAUAGUCAUAGAUUGUUGGUUUUAGUCUAUGUAAAAAAUACCAUUUUGGAUGCUUAUUUAAAAAGUCAUUCUAGGACUGUCCAUAUGCUUAUUUAAAUGAAUGUAUUUAUUAAAAAAGUAUGAGUGACCACUGUAUACAAGGCACUAUUCUGGGCCUUUGGGGAUACAGUAGAGAACAAAACAUAGCCUUACCCACAUGGAACUUACAUUUUAAUUGAGAGAGAAAAAUAUUAAAUGGAUUAAGAUGAGUUAGGUGGUAAAUGCUCUGCAGACAAAGUGAGAAAGGAUGGAUAGUGAGGGUUUGGAGGUAGAGAAGUGCCCUGAGGCUUUGUUAUAUUGUAUAAUUAUUUGGAAGAGUUCAUCUGAUAAGGUGACAUUUGAGCAAAGAUCUGUAAGAAUAAAGUGUGGGAGCAAAAAGUGUAGAUAUCUAGGAGAAGAGUGUUCUGGGCAGAAGGAACAACAAGUGCUAAGCACCUGAGGUAAGAGUUCUUGGUCUGUGGGAGGCAUUGCAAAGGAGACAUCCGUGUAACUGAAGCAAAGUGAUGCAGAGAGAGUUGAUCACAAAGGGUUUAUAGCAUUGGUUUAUAGCAUUAGAAUAUAUAUAUUCUAAUAUUAUAUAUAAAAUCCUGUAGUUGAAACUACAAUCUAUACCUUUUGCUUCAUUUAAGAUCUGACUUAAAUCUUAAGUCAGAUUUCUGACUAAUCGAGCAGUUUAUUACCAACUUUGUGAUGAAGAGUAUGGAAAUUGCUAACAAAAAUGUUUGCAGUCUCCUUUUAAGGUCUCUCAAACUAGUUAGAAGGUAAUGAUUUGGAAAUAAAUACAGUGUAGGAUAAUUCUAUUAUGUAGAAUUAUGUGCUAGCUUUAGUGACUGGGGCGUACCUUGGUAUGUGAAGGGAAGACAAUUCAUUUUGAAGAAUGAGCAAGAAUGUAAAGAUGCAGGGGUGAAACAGCAAGGUACGUCACAGAAAACUGGAAAGUGGUUUUGUAUUGGAAGCUAAGAUUUGAGAUGGGAGAAUAUGACAAGGAGGAAGUGUAUGCCAUCCUGUAAGGAGUAGGGAUGUCAUUGAGGUUAAGCAGUGAAAGUGUUGUGUUGUAGAUCAUUCUGUGGUCAGUUUAGAGAAGGGGGGUGUGAGGUGGGUGAGACCCCAAAUCAGGUAUCAUCAGGUAAGAAGCAGUCAGUCCAUCAUUUCUUUGUGGGGACAGUUUUGGGUGGAGCAGGUUUGUUUGUUUUUAUUCAUUUAUUAAUUUAAAGUAGGCUCUAUGUCCAAUGUGAGGCUUGAACUCAUGACCCUGAGAUCAAGAAUCACAUGCUCAUUCAACUGAGCCAGCCAGGCGCCCCAGUGGGUGGAACAGUUUUAAAAUGUGAAGUGCCGAUGGUGCACUUUGCAGGACAAUUUAUCUUCCUCAUCCUUGGUAUUAAAUGCCAGUAAAAUCUCUGUGUUAAUCUCCCUCCCCAAUUUCUGAAUACUUCCAGGAGAGGUGGCACCCCCUAGUUAAGAAAUAGAAUUUAGGAGCACCUGAGUGUCUCAGUCAGGUAAGCGGCUGCCUUCAACUCAGGGUCCUGGGAUUGAUCCCAUGUCCUGUUCUCUGACCAGCGGGAAGCCUCCUUCUCCCUCACCCUCCACCUGCUUAUGCUCUCUCUCUCAAAUAAAAUCUUAUAAAAAAUUAAAAAAAAAGAAAUAGAAUUUAAACUCCGGCUUUGACAAUGAUAGUGGGAUGGAGAGGAACAGGUAGAAUUGCUGGAGAUUUAGGAGACUUGGUUACUGAUGGGCUCUAGGGAGUAUAUAUGAACACAGAGAGGUAGGAGCACCUGUGGAGUAGUACUGUGACAAGAAAUUUUAUGACAGGUUCAGUUUUGAAAACUAAAAAAAAUACGAUUCUGAGGAGUGUGGACUUGAUGCCAUCAAGAGGAAGUAACUUUAAGAAUUGAAUAGCUUAUCAAAACAAUUUCUGGAAGGAUAUAGAAAAAUGUAGAUAUAUCAAGAUAAAUAGAAAAAAACUAAGAAUAUAACAUAAUUGAGUUCAGAACUUGACCAGUGUGUUUGAAGUUUUAAAGGAUUCAAAAGGAGCAAGACAGAUAAGCCUUGCCCUCAGACUACUUUUUGAGGGGCAGAGAGAAAGCUUAGCUUUGGGAAUAAGGUGUACAUAAUAUAUUUAGUGCUGUAGGACAGAUAUGAAGUACUAUUUAAGAAGAAUCAGAGAAGGCAGAGAUCAAGUUCUUUUUAUUAUCAGAAACUGAACCAUACACACCAAAUUGAAAGUACUAUUUAAUUUUUGUUGCAAGUAUGAAUUGUGAAAGCCUUGUAUUAUUCUCCUGUUCCAAGGGUACUCUGACCGUGUUGUGCUUUGUUCUUUAAGCAUUGUUGGCUAGGGUAACUGCUUAUCUAAAAUUCAUUUGUUUAUUCAAUGUUACUUUGUAUAAUAAUUGAGCCUAUUAGAACAAACAUUUUUGAAAGAUUGUAAGCAGAUAAAUGGUCAUGGUUGCAUUGGUGUUUCUUGUGAUCAAGGCCAAGUUUGGUCACUUGAAUUUUUACUUAAUCAUUAUGCGCUGAAGAUUAAAAGUAGGCAAACUGCUUAUGAGUCAUGAAUAACUUUAAUUUCUUUCCCUUAUGGUAGUUAUAGCUGAGAUAUUUAUACAUUUUUAUACAUUAAAAGUAAAACAACUCAUUUCUUGGUCUUCCUCUCUGUUCUCUAAAUUGGAUUGUAUCUUG